rnacentral:rRNA from 1 species
GAUGAACGCUGGCGGCGUGCCUAAUACAUGCAAGUCGAGCGAACGGACGAGAAGCUUGCUUCUCUGAUGUUAGCGGCGGACGGGUGAGUAACACGUGGAUAACCUACCUUUAAGACUGGGAUAACUUCGGGAAACCGGAGCUAAUACCGGAUAAUAUUUUGAACCGCAUGGUUCAAAAGUAAAAGACGGUCUUGCUGUCACUUAUAGAUGGAUCCGCGCUGCAUUAGCUAGUUGGUAAGGUAACGGCUUACCAAGGCAACGAUGCAUAGCCGACCUGAGAGGGUGAUCGGCCACACUGGAACUGAGACACGGUCCAGACUCCUACGGGAGGCAGCAGUAGGGAAUCUUCCGCAAUGGGCGAAAGCCUGACGGAGCAACGCCGCGUGAGUGAUGAAGGUCUUCGGAUCGUAAAACUCUGUUAUUAGGGAAGAACAUAUGUGUAAGUAACUGUGCACAUCUUGACGGUACCUAAUCAGAAAGCCACGGCUAACUACGUG